rnacentral:rRNA from 1 species
UACAGAGGUCCCAAGCGUUGUUCGGAUUCACUGGGCGUAAAGGGUGCGUAGGUGGUCGGGUAAGUUUGAUGUGAAAUCUCCGGGCUUAACCCGGAAACUGCAUUGAAUACUAUUCGGCUAGAGGGUUGGAGGGGAGACUGGAAUACUUGGUGUAGCAGUGAAAUGCGUAGAUAUCGUAAGGAAGACCAGUGGCGAAGGCGGGUCUCUGGACAGUUCCUGACACUGAGACACGAAGGCCAGGGGAGCAAACGGG